GGUGCUGUAGUAUAGUGGUCAGUACGGUUCGUUGUGGUCUAAUCCCGAACAGACCUGGGUUCGAUUCCCAGCAGCGCCA
rnacentral:tRNA from 1 species